CCAACAAUGCGUUUCUCUAUAUAUUUUGAAACAAGGAUAUAUCUUGGUAAACGUCUGUAAUUCUGUGUCUAUAUUUUUCUUGGCUCUGUGUUUUAGACGCUUGCAGUUUCGGAUAAGGAAAGUUUUGAAAACAUUCCCCCAGUUCCAGGACUUCUUACUUACAGAGAAGACAACAAGCAACUUUAUGUGAACAAUGGACCAGGAUGGGAAGCCCUAAGUAGUGAAAAAGAAGUAUCAAGCCUCGUAAGUGAAAAUAAAAACGUACAAAUAUAUAUUUAACAAUUGUUUGCCGAAGGCGAGGUGAUUAUCGAGGAACAUUCGCCGAGACGAAGUCGAGGUGAAUAU
rnacentral:lncRNA from 1 species